rnacentral:rRNA from 1 species
CCUACGGGGGGCAGCAGUGGGGAAUAUUGCACAAUGGGGGAAACCCUGAUGCAGCGACGCCGCGUGAGUGAAGAAGUAAUUCGUUACGUAAAGCUCUAUCAGCAGGGAAGAAACACUGACCUUACGGUCAGCAGACGGUACCUGAGUAAGAAGCCCCGGCUAACUACGUGCCAGCAGCCGCGGUAAUACGUAGGGGGCAAGCGUUAUCCGGAAUGACUGGGCGUAAAGGGUGCGUAGGUGGUUUGACAAGUUAGUAGCGCAACUCCGGAGCUCAACUUCGGAACUACUACUAAGACUGUUGGACUUGAGUGCAGGAGGGGCAAUCGGAAUUCCGAGUGUAGCGGUGGAAUGCGUAGAUAUUAGGAGGAACACCAGUGGCGAAGGCGGAUUGCUAGACUGUAACUGACACUGAGGCACGAAAGCGUGGGGAGCAAACAGGAUUAGAUACCCCGGUAGUC